UACGUAGGGGCCAAGCGUUGUCCGGAAUUAUUGGGCGUAAAGAGCUCGUAGGCGGCCCAUCAAGUCGGAUGUGAAAUCUCAAGGCUCAACCUUGAAAUUGCAUCCGAUACUGCUGGGCUUGAGGCAGGUAGGGGAAAGCGGAAUUCCUGGUGUAGCGGUGAAAUGCGCAGAUAUCAGGAGGAACACCGGUGGCGAAGGCGGCUUUCUGGGCCUGUACUGACGCUGAGGAGCGAAAGCGUGGGGAGCAAACAGG
rnacentral:rRNA from 1 species